rnacentral:misc_RNA from 1 species
AAAGUCGUAACAAGGUCUCCGUUGGUGAACCAGCGGAGGGAUCAUUAAAGAGUUGCAAAACUCCCAUCAACCAUCGCGAACGUUACCUAUAAAUCUCGUUGCUUCGGCGCGGGUCGAGGGGCCUCACCGCCCCGAGCCCCCGCCGGAGGGACGCAACCCAAACUCUUUGUAUAUUAUUGGCCUCUCCGAGUAAUGAUUUUAAAUAAGUCAAAACUUUCAACAACGGAUCUCUUGGUUCUG